AGUGAACGCUGGCGGUAGGCCUAACACAUGCAAGUCGAACGGCAGCACAGUAAGAGCUUGCUCUUACGGGUGGCGAGUGGCGGACGGGUGAGGAAUACUUCGGAAUCUACUUUUUCGUGGGGGAUAACGUAGGGAAACUUACGCUAAUACCGCAUACGACCUACGGGUGAAAGCAGGGGAUCUUCGGACCUUGCGCGAUUGAAUGAGCCGAUGUCGGAUUAGCUAGUUGGCGGGGUAAAGGCCCACCAAGGCGACGAUCCGUAGCUGGUCUGAGAGGAUGAUCAGCCACACUGGAACUGAGACACGGUCCAGACUCCUACGGGAGGCAGCAGUGGGGAAUAUUGGACAAUGGGCGCAAGCCUGAUCCAGCCAUACCGCGUUGGUGAAGAAGGCCUUCGGGUUGUAAAGCCCUUUUGUUGGGAAAGAAAAGCAGCAGGUUAAUACCCCGCUGUUCUGACGGUACCCAAAGAAUAAGCACCGGCUAACUUCGUG
rnacentral:rRNA from 1 species